rnacentral:tRNA from 1 species
CUCUGGGUGGUGCAAAUUGUUAACACACUUGGCUGCUAACCAAAAGGUUGGCAGUUCAAACCCUCCCAGAGG